UCUCCCGUGCUCCGCUCAGACUGGGGACGCGCUCCGCUCGCCGGCCGCCCCAGAACUUGGGACCCUACGCACGCCCGCUUGCGCUCACACUCAAACUCACACACGCAGCCACACCUUCAUUGCCUUUCACCGCGCGCGCUUACACCUAUUCACGUGCGCUCACACUCGCACACGCUGUCACACUCCCUCGUGCACUCACAGGCGCACUUUCACCCUCUCACACUCACAAGCUCACACCCCAGCUCAGGCCCGCUUACUCUGCAGGGGCGCAGGCACCGUCGGCAACAGCGCUGAGAGGACGCACACGGCUUCUCCAUGGCUGAUCUGAGCUUCAUCGAAGAUUCCGUUGCCUUCCCGGAGAAGGAGGAGGAUGAGGAGGAAGAGGAAGAGGGUGUGGAGUGGGGCUACGAAGAAGGUGUUGAGUGGGGCUUGGUGUUUCCUGACGCUAAUGGGGAAUACCAGUCUCCCAUCAACCUGAACUCCAGAGAAGCUAGAUACGACCCCUCACUGCUGGAUGUCCGCCUCUCGCCGAAUUAUGUGGUCUGUCGGGACUGUGAAGUCACCAAUGAUGGACACACCAUUCAGGUUAUCCUGAAGUCAAAAUCAGUUCUGUCGGGAGGUCCGUUGCCUCAAGGUCAUGAAUUUGAACUGUAUGAAGUCAGAUUUCACUGGGGAAGAGAAAACCAGCGUGGUUCUGAGCACACCGUUAAUUUCAAAGCUUUUCCCAUGGAGUUGCAUCUGAUCCACUGGAACUCCACCUUGUUCGGCAGUAUUGAUGAGGCCGUGGGGAAGCCACAUGGGAUCGCCAUCAUUGCUUUGUUUGUUCAGAUAGGAAAAGAACAUGUAGGCCUAAAGGCUGUGACUGAAAUCCUUCAGGAUAUUCAAUACAAGGGGAAGUCCAAAAUAAUACCCUGCUUUAAUCCUAACACUUUAUUACCAGACCCUCUGCUGCGUGAUUACUGGGUGUACGAAGGCUCGCUCACCAUUCCACCAUGCAGUGAAGGCGUCACCUGGAUAUUAUUCCGAUACCCUUUAACUAUAUCCCAGCUACAGAUUGAAGAAUUUCGAAGGCUGAGGACACAUGUGAAGGGGGCAGAACUUGUGGAGGGCUGUGAUGGGAUUUUGGGAGACAAUUUUAGACCCACGCAGCCACUUAGUGACAGAGUCAUCAGAGCUGCAUUUCAAUAGCCUGAAAGAACAGGAACACACCCACCUUCACCCGGGUAUGUGCAGAUGAAAUAAGAAAAUGGGCACAUAGUUAUGUAAACCCACCAGACCAAAGCUACUCUCGUGAUGGUCUGGAUAAUUCAGCAAUAUGAAUUUUAUUUUGAUAAAGUUUAUGACCCUUUUCAAGCUCCAUUAAUUUACAAGUGAAAUAGUUUUAUAAAAUUUCUGUAGUGUUGAAAAAUAUCUGCAGACCUUAUAUUUCCCACCAGAGUAGCCUUUUGUUUCAUACUUUGUUUCACUAUGGGCUUUCAUGAGGAGAGGCACUCUGAGGCAGAGAAAUGGGGGAAUGCAAGCACCCCUUCAGUUCUUUACUGUGUUGAAUCCCUGAAACUUCAGCAGUCACCUCCUGAUGACUGAGGACCAUAAAGGAAGGGACUAGAGUAUGUGAGCCUCAGAGCUGACCCUCAUUGUUUAAUGCAGGUUUGAUUGUAUUGUUUUGGGGUGUAGGAGAGGGCAGAUCUGUCAUGAAUGAAAAUACUUGUCCUAUGGAAGUGCUGUUAUUUGAUAAUCAAGAAGCACCGAUUAAUCUGAAUAUGGGUUUUUCAUUCAUCAAAAAAUAACAUAUACAUUUUAAUAUAUUGAAUUCAAUAUAUAUUCCUUACCCUUAUGGAACUAACAAAAUAAACAUUGCAACCAUGGAAAAGAUAAAGUCUACAAAAAUGACUAUAUACUGAAUUAUUUCUUUACCUUGUAAUUUGCCUAAGAAUGCAUUCAUAGGUCAGCACCUGGCUGGCACACCACUGCUUCCUGUAAGCAUAGUAUCCAUUGAAAUAGUUUCCUAGGUAAGCAGGAUGGUGCUUUGACUGUUAAAUGGACCAUUGGGAGUAUAUAAUCACAUACUAUAUGACUGGUACGGUGAAUGGACUGGGCGGUCAAAGAUGAAUAGAAAUCUUUGGCAUCCAGAAGCUCACAGUCUCAUGAACUAGACAGUAGACAGAGGAAUUUUAAAAGGUGAUCAUUUUGUCCAUGUUUCCUAAUCCAUUUUUCUUGCCUCUCUAUUAUUACUGUACUCUAUGUACCCAGUGUUCUGGACAAACUGCCUUUUUUCUUCUGUGAUUGUGCUUUGCUCACACAGUCUUUCCCACACUACCUCUUGCCUAUUGAUAUCCUGGCUGCCCUACAGGCCCAACUCAAAUACCACUCUCAGCAUGAAUUCUAGGCUUCUCCUUUAAAUUGUAGCUCUUAUUUCACAUUCUUUCUUCCAUUUAGCUAUUUGUGUAUUUCUUACUUUUUUGUUAGAUUUCAAGCUUCUUAAGGGUUGGAACAUGUUUGCUUUGAAUCCAUUGUGACACAUAACACUUUGUAUUUUGAAUGUCUAGGCAAAUUAGAAGUUUCUUAGAAAUAUGCAUAUUGUAUAUUCCAGUCAUUCAUCCAUUCUCAGUUUCUGUGUCAGACAGUACAAUUCCUCCCACCCUUCUAAUUUUGGAGUUGAUGAGAGCCAGGCAAAGUUGCCUUUGGUAGGAAUGAGAAGAAACUUUUAGUAAUUCAUAUAUGGUAACAAUGGAGAAAAUCCAAGAGUGCUUUAAGCCAAGCCUUACAGUAGAGGAUAAAAACAUAUAUUUAAUUAAAAGUCAUUAUUGAGCACCUACUAUGUGAUUGGUUCUGGGUGUGCAGAGUUGAGAACAGAUGUGGUCUCUACCCACGUAAAACAGAGUCUGAGGUGGGGAGCCUGACAUAGAAAAAUAAAGACUUCAAAAUAUGCAAUUAUAAAUUAUUUAUUAUAAAUUAUAAUAAAGUCCACAAUCGAGAAGAACAAAGAAUGUAGCAAUGGAGAUUUCUGAUAAAAGGAAUAUCUUUUGCAAAAGUCCCAUUGAGGGGCUUCUCCUUUUGGAGGUGGUAAGAAGUUAAUGCAUUGAAGCACCUGAAAGAAGGCACAGUAAAUCUGGGAAUAGAAAUCAAAGUGGAAAGUUAGGCGGGGCCCAUUCUUAGAGGGUCUGUCAGUCACAUGAAAGCAUCUCUAUUCCCACGUCAACAGAGUUGAGAUCUCAUAAAGACCUCAGGGAGUGGCCUGAUCCCAUGUCUGUUUUGAGCCGAUCACAGGGAUUGGAUUAUAGUGGGCCAGGGCAGGAGUAGAAGAAUAUUUCAGAAAUCAGGUAGCCAAGGUGAAAGAUGGCUUAGAUACUAGACUAGGAGCAGUGGAGGUGGAGAGAUGUUGAUGUCUGUGAAACAGACCUUGAAAGUGACAGCUAGUGAUAAUUUGGAUGAGGUGGAGAAAAGUGGAAAUAUCAAAGAUAACUUAGGGGGCUUGAGGUUUUGGAAACUGUGUGGAUAGAGCAUCAUUGAGUGAUGCAAGAAAGCUGGAGGAGGCUCUGUUUGGGAUGGAAGAAAGAAAAAGUUGGGUGGUAAUGUCCAGAAGCUGAGGGGCCUGGGCUGCAGUGAGGCAGGGGAGCCUGCAUCAGCUGCUGUCCCCUCCCCUGUUCCAUGGGGACCACACAGGUGCUGCCUGUGCUGUGAUGGUGUGCAGCUUCCAGAACAGCCAUGGAGACCUCUCCUUCAGGCCUGGGACGUUGCAGAGAGCCAACACCCACAUCAUGAAGUUGGUGGACAUGGAGAAGGUAGCUGAUGGGUUGCAUAUGCCAUCUCUCCCUGAAAUGAUAUUUGGACACAAGGUUUUAAGAAUCCAGCACUGUUCUGGUUUUGGGAUUGAGUUCAGUGCUACAGAUGUAAACAACUACCAAGGAAGGCUUAAAGUAGCCUGUGCUCAAGAAUGGUGGGAAAGCAGGAUGGAGGUUGAAGACUAUAAGGAGGCUAUUAAACCGUAUGAUUGGGCCUGUACAACAGAUUGUUAGGAAACAUUACUUGGGGAAUCAUUUAACUUAAAGGUUGUACUUACAACAGACCAUAAUAGAUACAGAGAAAUUGAAAGCUAAAAAACAGAUUAAGUUUUUUGAAUUUCUCCUGUUUGAGGAUGAACUUCAUGAUCAUGGAAUUUCAAGCCUAAGUGUGAAAAUUAGAAUAACACCUUCCAGGUUUUCCCUGCUGUUGCAGUUUUUCUUGAGAACUGUUGGAGUGCUUAUCAGAAUGAAUGACAUAAGACGUCACCAUGGAGGCUGGCCAAACCUACAUGUUAUGAGAAGAUAUGUCAUGAGAGAGCAGAAUUGCUCAUUUAAUGCAUGUUUCACCUUCCCUCCACACGGAAACUAAUGAGAUACCAUGGCAUUCACUGAUCAAAGAAGCAGUUUAUGAGAAGCUAAUAUUUCCAGAAAAAGUUGAUCAUAACCCUGCAGACUCACAAGAAAAUGCACCUGUGGAAGAGACUGUGAUGUACCAUACACUCACCAUGGAGGAAGACAGUGGUCGUAUAGUGCCCCUGGAUGAGAAAUGGAUACUUUUGAGCUGCAGCUCCGGUUUUUCCUGAAAGCCCGCAUUGUUUAUCUUCAUCUAAUCCAGCUCUGAUGGACAUCUGUGGCAGUUGCCUGUACAAUGCUCUAAUGAAAUAUUAGAAAUGGCUGUACAUUCAGGAGAAACUCCGUAUUAUAUAUCCACAUCACUGCUGGUAGUAUUCAUAUUUUUGCACAUACUGUUUAUUGCUUACAUGUAGAAGAAAUGAAACUAGUUUUCAGAGUUGUUAUUAAUAUAAAUAUAUAUCAUGUAGUAAUGUCAAGACAGGAAAAAUACAUUUCCAGCAUUAGCAGUCCUUCAUUUCCUGUCCCCAACAGAAAAUUCACUCCUUCAGAGAAUGAUGUAAUUCCUGAUAAUAAAAUAAGAGUUUUGAUCAAGAACAGUGUACGGCUUCAAAGUGGAAUGUAAAGGAUUAGUAAAAAUCAUAUCUCAUGUUAUUUUUCAGCCCCCAUACCACAAUUGAUGCUAGGCUGGUUUCUUAUUAUGGAAAACUGUUGGGAAGUUAAUGCAAAAAUAUAAUACUCACUUUAUAUAUUA